UUAAAUUAAUGUCACACAUACACCGGCACAUGUGAUCCGGGUGCUCGUCAGGCAGAGUCUGCCGAAACGGGUUGAUCCAUGGGGUGUAUGGAGGCCUAAC
rnacentral:sRNA from 1 species